UCCAACCUGGGGAUCAUCAUCGGCUGCGUUGUGGCUGCUCUCGUCCUAGUGGGUGUGAUUGCUGGGAUCCUGGUAUUCUUCAAAAGACACAGAAUGGCUCCAAA